GGUGACCCAAGGGUCCCCGGAAGACGGCGUCUUGGAGCCGGAAGUGGCGCUCGGGCCCCGGUGCGGCUGCGCGUCGCGCGCGUCGUCUGCGUGUAAACCCGAGCCCCCAUCUUCUCUGCAUGGGGUCCAGGACUCGGGACCACCGUUUUUGAAGGUCAAUGGUGUCUCUGACCUGAUUUGAAGAACGCAGUUAUGGCUUUGUGAAGAAAACCCGACGAAGUUCUGCUCCUAAUCUGAGGGCGUCCCCGAGAGCCCAGGCUGUGACCCUCGCAGGCCUUUCCCAGCUGUGAACGCAGCCUUCCCUUCGCCUCCUGGCUGCGCACCACGUGCAGACGCGACCCACGCACCGCAUAACCGACAAGCACCAAUAGUCACUGCUGCAGAGUCCCGACCACUGCAGGGUGCUUUAUCAUUUAUUGAUCACAUGUCGCGCGAAUUUUACAUCUGAAAGACAGUUGACUUGGCACACUUUUUGGGUGGUGGAAAAAUCUAAUGAGAACUAGAUCAGUUCUAUGAUUAGUGCCGUGUGUUCACUUGAGUUGCCAUGGGGUCCAACAUCUACAAUAUAAAAACUGCUUUGAAGCGUUUCGGUAAUGUUUAUGGGAAACCUCUCAACACCCACCCUUUCUCAACGGGCCUAGGUGCUUCAUGGGGCUGGAGUACUCUGUCUCUUUUGAUCAUCACUGUUGUCUGACGACACAAUGACUAACAUACGGAAAUAGAAAAAUCAAGACGUGCUUCUUCCAGAGUUUAAAGAUUAUAUGCAAGAAAAGUGGAAGCCAGCUGGAUAUUUGGGCAAGGAGAAGCUCUCAGACAGCUGUCCUAUCCCCGUGGUUGCUUGGGACCAUAGAAGACCGGGUGCUGAUGAAUUAUAUACUGAAUCUGAAGUAGGUUGGGGCAGAAAGUGCCAAGCCUUUGGGUUUGGCUGCCCCAGUGCUCCUUCUCUGGCUUUGCCAUUCCCUAGCCAGAAAAACUUAUGAAAAGUACAGAACUUUCUUGCCUCUGCUCCUCAGCUGUGAAGGGAGGUGAAGUAUGCAAAUCUCACCAACAGUCAAUCACUCCAGGGUAUGGUGGCCUCUUUCUUGCUGCCCCUCCAUAAGACGUGGCCUUGUAAUCCAUCAUCUGACUUCAUUCUUGAGACUUUCAGCACUUCACGUCUGCACUGGAUUUCCCUGAAAGGUCCAAUUUCCAUCUACUCAGUGUUCACAAUGUUACUGAACAUUCACGCCAGGCUGGCUGGCUUUGAGACUGAAGGUGGGGAUGACAAGCCAGUUUCACAGGUGAGGCUGUAAGCUGUGAAGAUGAGGUGCCUUACCCGCCUCACCGACGAGGCCCAGACAGUGCUGGCACAGCACAGAAGUCUCCGAUCAAGCACAUGAAUCUGCCAUGACCCGCACAGUGUUGGCCAGCACCAGAAUGUGCACAGUUCCAUUUGCCAAUGAACAGAGCAAGCACUGUAAGAUGCACUGGCUUUGGAAUUUGUAAAAGUCAAGAGCCUUUACCAUGUAAAAGUCCAUAGAAACAGCAAGAUGCAUGUUAGGAAAUGGCUGAAAUUAGUCAUUGCACCUCCACUUCAGAUUCUUUAGAGAAAAUUGUGGUAGGGACAGAAUGUGAAAACCAGCUGUUUUAUAAUUUCACAGCAACUAUGAUCAGCAUGAUUCGGUAAAAGACAGCUGAGACUAGACUACAAAUAUUAAAAAUGUGAUUUUUAAUAUAAGUACAAAAUUUUAUUUCUUUAUACAAUCAUAAUGGCAUUUGGGUCAAACCACUGGAAUUUAAAAAACAAAAUAAAACAAUGAUAUAAAAA